rnacentral:rRNA from 3 species
GGGUUGUCAUGCCAAUGGCACUGCCCGGUAGCUAAAUGCGGAAGAGAUAAGUGCUGAAAGCAUCUAAGCACGAAACUUGCCCCGAGAUGAGUUCUCCCUGAGACUUAGAGUCUCCUGAAGGAACGUUGAAGACGACGACGUUGAUAGGCCGGGUGUGUAAGCGCAGCGAUGCGUUGAGCUAACCGGUACUAAUGAACCGUGAGGCUUAACCUUACAACGCCGAAG